GUUAUAUGUCAGCUUCUGCAAUCCAUGGUACAACUACAAACCUGUGGGUAUUGUUGCUAAAAUAUGCAGUAUAGCACAUGAAUGUAUGGCAUACAAGUUGCAUACCUACAUAAUUUGAAUUGUUUUCGUGACUUCGUGGGUCAAUUUUAGGCUGCGGUUUUAGGAUCUGGCAGUAGCCAGAUCUGUUUGUGCUUAUGCCCGAAGGUAAAAUCUGGCGAUUUGGGUGAAGUACAAAGCCAAGUGUGAAGCUAUGAAGCGUAUCAACAAAGAGUAGCAUAUGUAUUGUAAUAGUAGGCAGUAUUAGGUAUAUCUGGGUAGUGGUGUAGUGUAAAGAUUGUAAUAGACAAAUUUAAUGUUGGUUUGGAUGAAUUUCAUUUGCUCCCUAGCCUGUUUGAAA